rnacentral:rRNA from 1 species
UACGUAGGGUGCAAGCGUUGUCCGGAAUCAUUGGGCGUAAAGAGCUCGUAGGCGGUCCGUUGCGUCUGCUGUGAAAACUCGGGGCUUAACCCCGAGCCUGCAGUGGAUACGGGCAGGCUGGAGUUCGGUAGGGGAGACUGGAAUUCCUGGUGUAGCGGUGAAAUGCGCAGAUAUCAGGAGGAACACCGGUGGCGAAGGCGGGUCUCUGGGCCGAUACUGACGCUGAGGAGCGAAAGCGUGGGGAGCGAACAGG